rnacentral:rRNA from 1 species
GCCCAGACUCCUACGGGAGGCAGCAGUGGGUCCCACUGCACAAUCGCUUCAACCCUGACCCAGCGACGCCGCGUGCCUGAAGGAGCACCUCGGUGCGUAACUCCCUAUCGGCAGGGAAGAAAAGCGAAACGGUUCGCCUGGACGGUACCUGACUAAGAAGCCCCGGCUAACUACGUGCCAGCAGCCGCGGGAAUACGUAGGGGGCAAGCGGUAUCCGGAUUAACUGGGGGUAAAGGGAGCGUAGACGGCGACGCAAGUCUGGAGUGAAAGCCCGGGGCCCAACCCCGGGACUGCUCUGGAAACUGCGUCGCUGGAGUACGGGAGGGGCAGGCGGAAUUCCUGGUGGAGCGGUGAAAUGCGUAGAUAUCAGGAGGAACACCAGUGGCGAAGGCGGCCUGCUGGACUGCAACUGACGUUGA